AUUGCCCUAGUAACGGCGAGUGAAGCGGCAACAGCUCAAAUUUGAAAUCUGGCUCUUUCAGGGUCCGAGUUGUAAUUUGCAGAGGGUGCUUUGGCAAAGGUUGUGGUCUAAGUUCCUUGGAACAGGACGUCACAGAGGGUGAGAAUCCCGUACGUGGCCGCCAACCCGCGCUAUGUAAAGCCCCUUCGACGAGUCGAGUUGUUUGGGAAUGCAGCUCUAAAUGGGAGGUAAAUUUCUUCUAAAGCUAAAUAUUGGCCAGAGACCGAUAGCGCACAAGUAGAGUGAUCGAAAGAUGAAAAGCACUUUGGAAAGAGAGUCAAAAAGCACGUGAAAUUGUUGAAAGGGAAGCGCUUGCAGCCAGACUUGCCUGUAGUUGCUCAUCCGGGCUCUUGCCUGGUGCACUCUUCUAUAGGCAGGCCAGCAUCAGUCUUGGCGGUCGGAUAAAUGCGUGCUAAACGUACCUCUCUUCGGGGAGGACUUAUAGGGCACGCGGCAUACGACCAGCCGGGACUGAGGUCCGCGCAUCUGCUAGGAUGCUGGCGUAAUGGCUGUAAGCGGCCCGUCUUGAAACACGGACCAAGGAGUCUAACAUCUAUGCGAGUGUUUGGGUGUCAAGCCCGAGCGCGUAAUGAAAGUGAACGGAGGUGGGAACCCCUCGGGGUGCACCAUCGACCGAUCCUGAUGUCUUCGGAUGGAUUUGAGUAAGAGCAUAGCUGUUGGGACCCGAAAGAUGGUGAACUAUGCCUGAAUAGGGUGAAGCCAGAGGAAACUCUGGUGGAGGCUCGCAGCGGUUCUGACGUGCAAAUCGAUCGUCAAAUUUGGGCAUAGGGGCGAAAGACUAAUCGAACUAUCUAGUAGCUGGUUCCUGCCGAAGUUUCCCUCAGGAUAGCAGUA
rnacentral:rRNA from 1 species